UUCUCGCUUUCUGCUUCCUUAUCUGCCUGUUCCCUCAUUCGGCUGUGAUGGAUCCACAGAGAGGACGUUCUCGACGUGAAAACGUGAGGCGUUUAUUAACAAUCAAGAGGCACAACUUUUUUCAGGACUCUCCGCUUUGCUGCCUUAUGGGGAGUGCGGCGCCGUCUUCCCGUCGCCACCUCUGUUCAGAUACCUAAUGGACAAACACACAAUGGCUUCUUCAAAUCUUUCGAUUUACUUCCCAGUUCCCACGCUAUCUCUCUUUCUGUUUCCUUGGCUUCUUGUUCUUUCCUUUUUUUUUUCAACUGAAACCCCCGCUUUGUUCCUGUUUGUCUCUUUGUUCUCUCUACUCUCAGUCUUCUCGUUCUCGUUUUUCUGCACCCUGCAUGCCUGCUUUGCAAAUCAAGAAUACUGACCUUCAAGAACAAGCCAUCGACCUGGAAGGAGCCUCCUUCCCACACUGGCUUGCAAAUCCUCCAAUCGCUUGGGAGAUAUUCCUCAGCGAUGAGGAAGAUGGUCCGCUUACAAGUGUAGCUGGGCUCCCGACGGAUGGCAUUUAGCCAUUGUUCUUAACGAUUUUCAUGCAUAUUUUUGACAUUCCAUCAUAGAUAGGAAGAUGGCAGAGCUUACUGGUUAUACGUCCAAUAAGUGGCUGCUGAGGAAAGCUUGCAUAUCUCGGAUGUGUUUGGAGACCCAAAAAUAGAUAUUUCACCACUUGCAGUGCUUUUACGAUUGUCGUUGCCAUGAGGAGUGCUGAUACUACCAACAAACGUUUCUGGUUCCCCUUCAGCUUUCAAGGCUUUUAAAACUCCUUUUCAGGACCAAUGGUCCUUUCAACUCUUCAGUUUAUCUGAUAUGUAGAUUCUAAGUGAGAAACAUAUAAUUUAUUAUCUAAUGUAGUUUUAGAGUUUUUUUUUUUUUUUUUUAUGGCUGAUUUAGUUUACAUAUGAGUUUCUUGAAUUGAUUAUUACUUAAUCUAAGCAAUUUGUGUUGAUUUGUUGAAAGCCAUGUGGGAAUAGUUUUUGCUUUGCAUGCAACAUUACGUCUCCCGUAAUGUCUUCAUUGGAUCAGUAUUUACGAUUGCUCUCCUGACCCAUUAUAAGACUGGCUGCCAUCUCGUUUGCUUUCACACAUAAGUAGUAGAUGUAUAUGGAGCAUUCUAUUUUUGAUCUCUUGAUUUGAUUAGGUGUAAUGCAUCAUGUUAUAUUUGUUUAAUAUCAGCCAUCUUCUCGUAGGAUUGCUUAUCCUCAGUUAUAUUAAUCUAAUAGGAUUGGUUCACUUGCAGAGAGAGGAUUUUUUAUAAUGACCUUUAGGACCUUUAGAGUUACUUCAUUUGAACCGCAUGAAUGUUUUGAACUUUUAUCUCCUGAAACUUUGUUUUCCAAAUAAGGGUAGAGCUUCUACUCUGUUGUCAAACUAAUUAGCGAAGACCUAAGCAGGAAGGGGGAAUGUGCCCUUAAAACCAGCUUGUAAGAGAGAGAGCCACCCCCUAAAGAGCCACAUAAAUUACCUUACGGUCUUAACAUGGUAUAUAUAUCCUUUUGCUAAGUUGUGCUAUAUAAUUGGCAUAUAACUGUAAAGUGAUAAAGUGAUCUGAACUUUAUAUGAUCAUAUAGAGGCCCUGUAAUUGAUAUUUUGUAAUGUUCUGUAAACUUGGUUUUUGGAGGGCGUUGUUUCUAAUUUAACAUGCUACUAAUACCAUGAUACUCUUUGGCUUCAAAAUGUCAAUUAUCCAGAUUAAGUUACAUGAGGUCUCUAUAAAGUAAACAAAAUUUAAUGAUUUCUUUUCUUCUCGCUUCUAUCAUAUUUCUUACUAUUUUCAAUAGCCAUGUUUGAUUUUCAUUUUCUGAUCCCUCAAUAUAUUUGGCAGCACAAUGCUAGUUUAAUGGAUGGUCAAAAUCAAUAUAUUGUAAGUUUUCAUUCUAGCCUAAGGCCAUCUUCUCCUGUAUCUAAUGGGGAAGCUGUAUCAUCUAAUAAGAGGUAGAUAGUUUACUAAUCUUCACUGUAUUAUGUUUCCAUGUUUCAUUAUUACCAUAUUAACUCUUAAUGAUGACUUUAUAGCAACUUAUAGGUUUUAGAUUUUUAUUUUUUUAAGCACCAAUUAUAAAUUCUAGCU